AAAAGGAAAGAGGGAUCUGAAUUUUGAGAGAGAACCGGCAAGAGAGAAAGGGAGAAAGAAGAAGAAGAAGAGAAAAGAGGGAAAUUAGAAGGGAAAUAGAAAGGAAUUGAACGGAAUAAGUUUAAAGAUAAUCCUGAUAUUCUACCGGCGGGACGUCAGUAGGAUUUUCUUCGAUAUCAGCUUUGAGUUUUGUUGCUUUCGAGUCAGGAAACCUCGCGGUGCGGCUGUGAGAGAGAACAUAGAAAGAAGAUUAUGCGAGGCUGUCGAACUCUUGAAAUUGAUAAAUAGCUAACUUGAGUAGUUAAGACACAGAUGCAACUUAUGCUUGUUGAACCCUUCAGAGGUAUGGAAAAUGGUAACAUUUUGGAGCAGUUCCAGGGCCAUGUUGUUAGGCUUUCUUUCGGUUGUCAUGCCUAAUCUGUGCGUCGUUGAGUUGAGAUUUGAUGAAGUAAAUAGUGUACUGAGAGGUGUGCAGAUUUGAGAUGAAGCUGUUUGUCUUCACUGUAAUGAUUUUUCUCCCCUUUUCUUGAGCAAGUUGUUCUGUUUGUUUCCUCC